AUUGAACGCUGGCGGCAGGCCUAACACAUGCAAGUCGAACGGUAGCACAGAGAGCUUGCUCUUGGGUGACGAGUGGCGGACGGGUGAGUAAUGUCUGGGAAACUGCCCGAUGGAGGGGGAUAACUACUGGAAACGGUAGCUAAUACCGCAUAACGUCUUCGGACCAAAGUGGGGGACCUUCGGGCCUCACACCAUCGGAUGUGCCCAGAUGGGAUUAGCUAGUAGGUGGGGUAAUGGCUCACCUAGGCGACGAUCCCUAGCUGGUCUGAGAGGAUGACCAGCCACACUGGAACUGAGACACGGUCCAGACUCCUACGGGAGGCAGCAGUGGGGAAUAUUGCACAAUGGGCGCAAGCCUGAUGCAGCCAUGCCGCGUGUAUGAAGAAGGCCUUCGGGUUGCAAAGUACUUUCAGCGGGGAGGAAGGCGAUGGAGUUAAUAGCUUCAUCGAUUGACGUUACCCGCAGAAGAAGCACCGGCUAACUCCGUGCCAGCCGCCGCCGUAA
rnacentral:rRNA from 1 species